rnacentral:rRNA from 1 species
GACAGAGGGUGCAAAUGUUGUUCGGAAUUACUGGGCGUAAAGCGCGUGUAGGCGGCCCUGCAAGUCGGAUGUGAAAUCCCACGGCUCAACCGUGGAAGUGCAUUCGAAACUGCAGGGCUAGAGUCCUGGAGAGGAAGGUGGAAUGCUUGGUGUAGAGGUGAAAUUCGUAGAUAUCAAGCGGAACACCGGUGGCGAAGGCGGCCUUCUGGACAGUGACUGACGCUGAGACGCGAAAGCGUGGGGAGCAAACAGG